GCUCCGGUGUCUUAGUGGUUAGAGUGUUCACCUCGGAAACGGGAGGUCGUGGGUUCGAGCCCCGGCUGAGUCA